UAUCUCCAAGCGUCAUACCAGAGAUUCCAUUUAAAUUUUUAUGCGAAUAAAAUUCAGCUGCAGUUAUAAAGAAUAAGCAAGACAUGAAUCUUUUAAAAGGUUUUCAAUUAUUUUACUGGAAGAGAGAGCAUAUAACUUUCCACAACGAUAAGAAGAAGCUGACAACACUGCAAUCAUGAAAGAUUUUGGAAGACAGUCUUCUUUUUACCACACUGCAAAUAAACCAUGUGCAUUUAUUUUCUAUCAAAAAAAUUGAAGAAGGAAUGCAUCCUAGUUAUUACAAAUUUAAAAAAUAAAUAGGAAUUGUAUUAUAUUGGAAGAUUCUUUAAUUUGCAGAGGUUUCAUGUGAAUUAUUAUGCGUAUAGAAUGCAUCUACGGUGACAAAAAAUAAUUUAAACAAGAAUCUAUUAAUAGGAAGAGAUUGCGCAAUCUUUAUUUUAUUACCGACGAGUGAGGUGAGUAUACCCACAUCUUGGCGAAUGCAGCUCAUACCAAUGGAGAACGUUGUUAGGCGUAUAGGCUGUGAAAAAAAAUGAUUGCACAAGCAUGUCAAUUGUCUGUGAAUUAAAUUUUAUGUACUCCAUCAACUUCGAAUUUACUAAUGACUUCUGCACCAUCGCCUCAGCCUGUGAUUACUGGUACAAAAAUUUGUAUGAAUUUAGCAGAUAGCAAUUAUCAUCAAUUUGAUACUUUCCAUUAUCAAAGUCUGCAUGCUCACUCCAGUGAUCUUAUUGAUUCAAUUAUACAAAAAUCUCAAAUUUUAAUGUUGAGUGAAACUUGGUUAUAUGAUAAUGAGUCUAUUAGUAUACCAAAUUUAAAAUGUAUAAUUCAAUACAAAUGAUCAAAUGU
rnacentral:lncRNA from 1 species